AUUCGCUAACACUCCAUCAUCAUCAUAAUUGAUCACAUAUGAUAUAUCCCUGUUACAGAGCCCUUACUGCAGACUAACCUUAAACAGAUUCCUCCUAUGGGUGAGUGUUUCAUCUAACAGUAAGGCUGGGAUUCAAUCCAAGGCGUGUUAUGGAGAUUCGCACUGGACAACCGUCAACACGCCUUUUCAAGAACCGGGUGUGGCUUUGGAAUGACGGGUCAAGAUUGGAUUACACUAGCUGGCACACAGGAGAACUCAACAAUUACAAUGGCAAGAGAGAGCCUUGCAUGAUGAUGAACUCUGGAGGAAAUGGUUUCCUGAAAUUCUCCCCAAGCAGCUGAUUGGUCGGCCCCCACUGAUAAUUGGAGAGCUGACCCCGCCCCCUCGUCAGGACGCAGCUGUCUUCAAUUACCAACUCCUUCUGAAGCUAUAUAAACCAGUGUUCUGUUGUGCAGAAGGGAGAUGAUUGCUGAGAGAGGAGGCUGAUGGCUGAGGGUCAUAUCAUGUUGGUUGUUGCUAACAGAUUUGUUAUGUACUUUGUGAGAUGAUUGCUGAGGGAAGAGGCUGAUGGUUAUAUCAAAUGUUGGUUGUUGCUGAGAGUGAGACAGUACAUACCAAAACUGCCUAUGUUAGUUGUUGCUCAGUCAGAGCUUAUUUGAUGUCCUGUUCUCAGUUUGUUUGUGAAAUUGAUUUUAAUAUUCUGUUUCAUUUGUUCCUGGGGGGGAAGGGGAAGGCACCUAGGGAGUUUUUAGGCAAGAGGCCCGCGGGCAUACAUAACCCGUAGUAUUGACUGUCUAUGCACACUAGGUAAGACCUGGGUGGACCACCCCCUGUAUAUUGGUUAGUGCACCAGGUGGUGCUAGUUAGGUAAGUAGUGGGUAGGUAGGACAGGGGGCUUUGAUAUUUACUUUCUUUGCUUUGGUUCUGUCCAGCCCCUUUUCCCCCAAAUUACGUGUGACGGAAUAAAUUCCUUGUAAACGGUACCACUCUCUGCCUUUGUCAUCCUUACUCGCACCCACAGUCCCAUACCUCUUUCACUUCCCGGGGAGUUGAGUUGUAGCAGGGUGUUGCGUUCCCUCUUCCUAGAGGCGUACGUAACACUCACAAGUCCUCAACUGGCAGCUUCAUUAAAUAGUACCCGCAAAACACCAGUCUCAACGUCAACAGUGAAGAGGCGACUCCGGGAUGCUGGCCUUCUAAAGCAGUGUGAACCCCCCCAACCAUCAAGCAAGUUCAUUUUCAAUACAUGUUUACUGUUUUGGACUUUGGAUUAGUUGUGUAUUGAUAUUGUAUUACCGCACUGUAGGAGCAAAAAAUGUAUUAUUGCAUGCCUCAUCCAUGGCCUGAAGGAGGGUGUUACGCUCAUGGGGAUGGCAAUAAUACAUCUUCCAUGUAUUGUAUUCUACAUAAAUAUUGUAGUAGUACUGUACAUGGCUCAGUUUAUAAGCACAUGGCACCAGCAACAGCAGAGUUUUGGGUUCGAUUUCCACUGGGGUCACAUUGGACAAGUGUCUGCUAUGCAAAUGGUGUAUAUUAUGGUAUUACAGUACUGUAUUGGCCAAUGCAAUUUUAGUAAAGCAGUGUGAACCCCCCCAAACCAUCAAGCAACUUCAUUUUGGAUUCAUGUUUACUGUUUUGGACUUUAUGGUGUCACGUUCCUGACCUGUUUUCUGUUAUUUUUGUAUGUGUUUAGUUGGUCAGGGCGUGAAUUGGGGUGGGCAUUCUAUGUUUUGUGUUUCUAUGUUUAGGUCAGGUGUAAUUAGCCUUAUAUGGUUCUCAAUCAGGGACAGGUGUUUGAUGUUUCCUCUGAGAACCAUAUAAAGGUAGGCUGUUCACACUGUUUGUUUGUGGGUGAUUAUCUUCCGUGUCUGUGUAUGUUGCACCAUACGGGACUGUUUCGGUUUGUUCGUUCGUUUGAUGUAGUCUGUUCCUGUUCGUGAGUUCUUCGUGUUAUAUGUAAGUUCUUAGUUCAGGUCUGUCUACGUUCGUUUUGUUAUUUUGUAGUUUGUUCAAGUGUUUUCGGUUUUCGUCUUUUCUUUAAUAAAAUCAUUAUGUCAAAUUAUCACGCUGCGCUUUGGUCCAAUCCCUACUCCUCCUCUUCAUCCGAAGAGGAGGAGGACAGCCGUUACAUAUGGAUUAUUUGCAUAUUGUAUUACUGCACUGUAAAAGCUAAAAUCACAAGCAUUUACCUGCACCUGUUAACAUCUGCUAAUAUGUAUACACAACCAAUAAACUUUGAAUUGAUUUGUUACAUACAAUACAUCUCUGAUUUUGUAAAAAUGUACUGAAGUAAAACCAUAAGUCAUCAUCAUAGUAGUACAACUUUCUAUGUUUCUACUUCACAGACAUAAAUGUUCAUUAUGUAGUCCUCAAAAAUCUGUAGUAGACAAACCAGUUUACAUGUAAAAUCUCUAGGUUGACCAAAUGUUUAAGUGAUCAAUUAAGAGCAGUCAGAUUUAGUAUUAGUAAAAUAACUUUUGACAAAAGAUGAGAGAAUCAUAAGUACUGUGAGCAUUGCAUUGUGAAAGGCAAUUACUUUAUUUAUAAAAAUGUAGUGCAAUGUGAAACACUUUGGUGAAAAAGUGGGUUUAUGAUGUUUUGGUGCUUAGAGUUUUGAAACAAAUGCCUUUUUGAUAUGUUUUGUACUAAGAGUUACCAUAAACUUGUGAAAAUUGCACCAACGCGGCAAAUCAUACUGUUGAUUUCAUCAGAAUAGCAACUGUGAGUCACACUUUCCCAGUGUAGGGAAAAGUGUUAUUUCACUACUAUGGCUUUUGAAUAAACAGUAGUGUCCAAUUCAGGACACCCUCAGCCUCACUCUGGCAAAGGACUGUUGAUAAGACUGUUACUCAUCCCAGUAGGGUAUCAGGGCAUGCUCACCUGCAAU